rnacentral:rRNA from 1 species
AGAGUUUGAUCCUGGCUCAGGACGAACGCUGGCGGCGUGCUUAACACAUGCAAGUCGAACGGAGCACCCCUGAAGGAGUUUUCGGACAACGGAAGGGAAUGCUUAGUGGCGGACGGGUGAGUAACACGUAGGUAACCUGCCCCGGAGCGGGGGAUAACAUUUGGAAACAGAUGCUAAUACCGCAUAACAACAAAAGCCACAUGGCUUUUGUUUGAAAGAUGGCCUUGGCUAUCACUCUGGGAUGGACCUGCGGUGCAUUAGCUAGUUGGUAAGGUAACGGCUUACCAAGGCGAUGAUGCAUAGCCGAGUUGAGAGACUGAUCGGCCACAAUGGAACUGAGACACGGUCCAUACUCCUACGGGAGGCAGCAGUAGGGAAUCUUCCACAAUGGGCGCAAGCCUGAUGGAGCAACACCGCGUGAGUGAAGAAGGGUUUCGGCUCGUAAAGCUCUGUUGUUGGAGAAGAACGUGCGUGAGAGUAACUGUUCACGCAGUGACGGUAUCCAACCAGAAAGUCACGGCUAACUACGUGCCAGCAGCCGCGGUAAUACGUAGGUGGCAAGCGUUAUCCGGAUUUAUUGGGCGUAAAGCGAGCGCAGGCGGUUGCUUAGGUCUGAUGUGAAAGCCUUCGGCUUAACCGAAGAAGUGCAUCGGAAACCGGGCGACUUGAGUGUAGAAGAGGACAGUGGAACUCCAUGUGUAGCGGUGGAAUGCGUAGAUAUAUGGAAGAACACCAGUGGCGAAGGCGGCUGUCUGGUCUGCAACUGACGCUGAGGCUCGAAAGCAUGGGUAGCGAACAGGAUUAGAUACCCUGGUAGUCCAUACCGUAAACGAUGAGUGCUAGGUGUUGGAGGGUUUCCGCCCUUCAGUGCCGGAGCUAACGCAUUAAGCACUCCGCCUGGGGAGUACGACCGCAAGGUUGAAACUCAAAGGAAUUGACGGGGGCCCGCACAAGCGGUGGAGCAUGUGGUUUAAUUCGAAGCUACGCGAAGAACCUUACCAGGUCUUGACAUCUUGCGCUAACCUUAGAGAUAAGGCGUUCCCUUCGGGGACGCAAUGACAGGUGGUGCAUGGUCGUCGUCAGCUCGUGUCGUGAGAUGUUGGGUUAAGUCCCGCAACGAGCGCAACCCUUGUUACUAGUUGCCAGCAUUAAGUUGGGCACUCUAGUGAGACUGCCGGUGACAAACCGGAGGAAGGUGGGGACGACGUCAGAUCAUCAUGCCCCUUAUGACCUGGGCUACACACGUGCUACAAUGGACGGUACAACGAGUCGCAAGCUCGCGAGAGUAAGCUAAUCUCUUAAAGCCGUUCUCAGUUCGGACUGUAGGCUGCAACUCGCCUACACGAAGUCGGAAUCGCUAGUAAUCGCGGAUCAGCAUGCCGCGGUGAAUACGUUCCCGGGCCUUGCACACACCGCCCGUCA